rnacentral:rRNA from 1 species
GACGAACGCUGGCGGCGUGCUUGACACAUGCAAGUCGAACGGAAAGGCCCUGCUUUUGUGGGGUGCUCGAGUGGCGAACGGGUGAGUAACACGUGAGUAACCUGCCCUUGACUUUGGGAUAACUUCAGGAAACUGGGGCUAAUACCGGAUAGGAGCUCCUGCUGCAUGGUGGGGGUUGGAAAGUUUCGGCGGUUGGGGAUGGACUCGCGGCUUAUCAGCUUGUUGGUGGGGUAGUGGCUUACCAAGGCUUUGACGGGUAGCCGGCCUGAGAGGGUGACCGGCCACAUUGGGACUGAGAUACGGCCCAGACUCCUACGGGAGGCAGCAGUGGGGAAUAUUGCACAAUGGGCGGAAGCCUGAUGCAGCAACGCCGCGUGCGGGAUGACGGCCUUCGGGUUGUAAACCGCUUUCGCCUGUGACGAAGCGUGAGUGACGGUAAUGGGUAAAGAAGCACCGGCUAACUACGUGCCAGCAGCCGCGGUGAUACGUAGGGUGCGAGCGUUGUCCGGAUUUAUUGGGCGUAAAGGGCUCGUAGGUGGUUGAUCGCGUCGGAAGUGUAAUCUUGGGGCUUAACCCUGAGCGUGCUUUCGAUACGGGUUGACUUGAGGAAGGUAGGGGAGAAUGGAAUUCCUGGUGGAGCGGUGGAAUGCGCAGAUAUCAGGAGGAACACCAGUGGCGAAGGCGGUUCUCUGGGCCUUUCCUGACGCUGAGGAGCGAAGGCGUGGGGAGCGAACAGGCUUAGAUACCCUGGUAGUCCACGCUGUAAACGGUGGGUACUAGGUGUGGGGUCCAUUCCACGGGUUCCGUGCCGUAGCUAACGCUUUAAGUACCCCGCCUGGGGAGUACGGCCGCAAGGCUAAAACUCAAAGGAAUUGACGGGGCCCCGCACAAGCGGCGGAGCAUGCGGAUUAAUUCGAUGCAACGCGUAGAACCUUACCUGGGUUUGACAUGGAUCGGGAGCGCUCAGAGAUGGGUGUGCCUCUUUUGGGGUCGGUUCACAGGUGGUGCAUGGCUGUCGUCAGCUCGUGUCGUGAGAUGUUGGGUUAAGUCCCGCAACGAGCGCAACCCUUGUUCACUGUUGCCAGCACGUUAUGGUGGGGACUCAGUGGAGACCGCCGGGGUCAACUCGGAGGAAGGUGGGGAUGACGUCAAGUCAUCAUGCCCCUUAUGUCCAGGGCUUCACGCAUGCUACAAUGGCUGGUACAGAGAGUGGCGAGCCUGUGAGGGUGAGCGAAUCUCGGAAAGCCGGUCUCAGUUCGGAUUGGGGUCUGCAACUCGACCUCAUGAAGUCGGAGUCGCUAGUAAUCGCAGAUCAGCAACGCUGCGGUGAAUACGUUCCCGGGGCU